UUCCCGCAAGACCUCUCUUUCCCUAGGGGAAAACAGAGACAUCUCAUCACAGAUAUCUCUAGGUUUGCCUUGGCCAUGAUGUCCAAGUGGUCUGCUUGGUUCCAUGCCUGCAUCUGAGCUGGCUCUGUGGGAGGUGCCAAGCUGCCUUCGACACUGUGCAUGGCACUUUAAAGCUCUCAAUAAAUAUUUUUCAAGUGAAGUCAAUGAAGCAAGAAAGAAUCUCAACUAGUUUUGAGGUGCUCCCUUUAAUUCUCUGGCAAGAAGCUAAGGAGAAGGUGACUUGAGCUCCUCAUGUGUUUUGAUCACUCAACAAAGAAGACAGAAAAGGGCGUUUCAUAACCUGACAGUGGGAGAGCACAUUAAAAAGCCCCAGGUAGGGACCAUUGCUGGGGAACUUGUGUGGUCAUUUGGAGGUAAGAAAACAUUCUGGCAUUUUGAGUUGCCAGAGUUCUUGUGCUGAUUCCUUCUUAUCUGUGUGGGAUGAUGUUCCCUCAACCUCUGAAGUUGCUGUCCUUUCGAUGCAUGUUUUUUUCUUUGCUUUUCUCUUCUUUGCUGCCCUUGGGGGUUUCAUUGCGGUAUAAGGUAGGUUCAGUUGACUGGGUUCAUUUCUGGAAGAUUUUAGGGGCCACGGCUCAGCUCAGCACUCCUGGUGGACUCUAAGUCUGGGGAGUUGGUACCAGGACCCC